rnacentral:rRNA from 1 species
UACGGAGGGUGCAAGCGUUGUCCGGAAUUAUUGGGCGUAAAGAGCUCGUAGGCGGUGUGUCGCGUCGGCCGUGAAAACCUGCAGCUUAACUGUGGGCUUGCGGUCGAUACGGGCAUCACUGGAGUUCGGCAGGGGAGACUGGAAUUCCUGGUGUAGCGGUGAAAUGCGCAGAUAUCAGGAGGAACACCGGUGGCGAAGGCGGGUCUCUGGGCCGAUACUGACGCUGAGGAGCGAAAGCGUGGGGAGCGAACAGG